rnacentral:rRNA from 1 species
AGAACGAACGCUGGCGGCAUGCCUAAUACAUGCAAGUCGAACGAACUCUUCGGAGUUAGUGGCGCACGGGUGCGUAACGCGUGGGAAUCUGCCCCUUGGUUCGGAAUAACAGUUGGAAACGACUGCUAAUACCGGAUGAUGACGAAAGUCCAAAGAUUUAUCGCCAAGGGAUGAGCCCGCGUAGGAUUAGCUAGUUGGUGAGGUAAAGGCUCACCAAGGCAACGAUCCUUAGCUGGUCUGAGAGGAUGAUCAGCCACACUGGGACUGAGACACGGCCCAGACUCCUACGGGAGCAGCAGUAGGGAAUAUGGACAAUGGGCGAAAGCCUGAUCCAGCAAUGCCGCGUGAGUGAUGAAGGCCUUAGGUUGUAAAGCUCUUUUACCCGAGAUGAUAAUGACAGUAUCGGAGAAUAAGCCCCGGCUAAACUCCGUGCCAGCAGCCGC